AGCGGAAUCGACUGGAGUGGUAACCAGCGGCAGCCUCAUAAGCUGCAUGACGUCGGUUCGAAUCCGACUUCCGCCACCA
rnacentral:tRNA from 1 species